GUGCUCCGGCCCCACCGCGCCGGCCCGCCGUCCUCCGGGUGCCGGGCCGCCGCACGCCGCGUCGCCGACCGCGCCACUCCUAGUCGCUGCACGCCGUCAGAUCUGCGUCCGCAGCCGCAGGCGAGGUGCACGCACUGCUGGGACUGGGGCUGUGCUGGAUCUGCAAGCCAGCUGCUCCAGUCGUGUUUUUUUUUUGGAAACAGUCGUGGUUGCUUGCCCGUAACCACUUUGCGUCGUCCAGGUCCUCUUGGUUUUCCCGUGGCUCAUCCUCACCUGCCAUGUUCCAUCCGCAUCUUUAGCUACACCAAAUCCACAUUCAAGGUUGGAGUUCUUUAGCGAGUCCUAGUACUUGCCUGUGAUUUUGCAAUCGAUG